AACCCCUGUGACAUACCUAUACGUUGCCUCGGCGGAUCAGCCCGCGCCCCGUAAAAAGGGACGGCCCGCCCGAGGACCCCUAAACUCUGUUUUUAGUGGAACUUCUGAGUAAAACAAACAAAUAAAUCAAAACUUUCAACAACGGAUCUCUUGGUUCUGGCAUCGAUGAAGAACGCAGCAAAAUGCGAUAAGUAAUGUGAAUUGCAGAAUUCAGUGAAUCAUCGAAUCUUUGAACGCACAUUGCGCCCGCCAGUAUUCUGGCGGGCAUGCCUGUUCGAGCGUCAUUUCAACCCUCAAGCUCAGCUUGGUGUUGGGACUCGCGGUAACCCGCGUUCCCCAAAUCGAUUGGCGGUCACGUCGAGCUUCCAUAGCGUAGUAAUCAUACACCUCGUUACUGGUAAUCGUCGCGGCCACGCCGUAAAACCCCAACUUCUGAAUGUUGACCUCGGAUCAGGUAGGAAUACCCGCUGAACUUAAGCAUA
rnacentral:rRNA from 1 species